CAGUAGCCACGGGAAUACGGAGGGGGCUAGCGUUGUUCGGAAUUACUGGGCGUAAAGCGCACGUAGGCGGCUUUGUAAGUCAGAGGUGAAAGCCUGGAGCUCAACUCCAGAAUUGCCUUUGAGACUGCAUCGCUUGAACGUCGGAGAGGUGAGUGGAAUUCCGAGUGUAGAGGUGAAAUUCGUAGAUAUUCGGAAGAACACCAGUGGCGAAGGCGGCUCACUGGACGACUGUUGACGCUGAGGUGCGAAAGCGUGGGGAGCAAACAGGAUUAGAUACCCCAGUAGUCCCUGUCUCUUAUAC
rnacentral:rRNA from 1 species